UGGUGUUGGGUAAACUGUUGUUCAGUUAGGGUAACUUCUUUCUCCAGAUCAGUGAUUUCUUGUUGAGUUUGUGUGUUGAAUGCUUUCAUUUGGCCUCUGAUGAAGGCCUUCAGGGAGUCCCAGACCAUUUGGGGUGAAGCUGUGUUGUUGUUUAUCUCGAUUAAGUCACUUAGCUCUUUAUCAAUCGGUUCUGUGAUCACGUCCUGAUGUAACUAAAAACUGUUCAAUUUCCAGAUUUUGUCCGUUUGAAGUAAACCAGUUUUCAAUGUUAUGGAGAGUGGUGAGAGGUCCGAUAUCCCGCCUGGCAAGAUGUCUACUGUUGAGGUCUGAGAUAGUAUUGCUGGGGUGUCUAAGGCUAGUGUUAUGAGUUGCUGAGAAACAGGUACAUUUUUUGUCCUUGGGAUGUUUUUCUCUCCAUAAAUCCGCAAAGUUAAAAGCAGAGAUCCAGGGGGAGGGUAGCAAUUUUGCUCAUUAUUUUAGACAACAGCGUCACAUCAAAGGGGUGUGGGAGGUACACAUUGACCAUGAUGUAAGUUCCUCCGUUUGCUAUGCAGUGCAUAAUAAUAAAGCGUCCCUCCGAGUCCGUGAUGAGUGUCUUAAGAGUGAAAGAGCAAUUUUUUGACACAAGUAUUGAUACUCCUCUAGAGUAGGUUGAGUAGGUAGAGUGGUAAGAAGCUGCUAUCCACGGUCUUCUAAGAGCAAGCAAUUAGUUCCCAUCUAGGUGGGUUUCUUGAAGCAUAGUGAUGUGAGGUUUUAACCGCUGAAGUGUUUUGAAUACCAAGACCCGUUUUAUUGGGGAGCCCAGGCCACGGACAUUCCAUGACAGUAGUCUAAUUUCAGCUAUAAUCGGCAUAGUAUUGGAUAAGGAGGAGAAUUAGGGGAAAAAGCAGCCAGGAAAGAAGUAGUAUAUCCAAAGGUUUUGUGAUGCCCUACCUGCUGUUCCCCAAUUUGAGCAAUUUUAAUCCCAAAACAUAAAACAUUGUCAGAGGGGGUAGAACAAAGGUAUGUUUAGUACAGUUCCUUAGGUCAAUACCUUACCAACUGUAGGUAGUAGUCCUUGUCGACUUUUGUUGGUUCCAGCUUUCCUGGGAGGUUCCGGGAUUAUGUAGAUUCCGUAGCCCUUGAAAUCAGAGUUGUUACAACGGCUCAUUCCGGUGUUGGUGAUCUGUGCCUCCUAGGUGAGCGCUGUGGCUGGGGGGAGGUCGCAACAGAUUCUAUCCAUUGGAGUGCAUCGGUUGGUGCAUUGAAAAAAUAUGCUCUGUCAUCUUCCAUUAUCCGUAGGCGGGCAGGGAAUAUCAUAGCGCAUUUGAACUGUAGUUGACUAAGCUUUUCCUUAACAGUGUUGAAUUUGAGCCUCUGGUUGCAUACUGCCAUAAGAAAUCAGGAAAAAUAGAGACUUUAUGGUUUUCAUAUUGUAAAGGACCUUUCAUCCUUGCCUCUUGGAGGACUGCGUCACGGUCCUUAUAGUUAAGUAGGUGGGCAAUGAGUGGUCUUGGAGGUGCCCCUGGUGGUGGGGGUUUGCUAGGGACCCUAUGGGCCCGUUUAAUAAUGAAACACGUGGAGAAUAUUUCCUUUCCAAAUGUUUGCAAAAAGCCAGUCUUCUAGAAAAACCUCCACAUGUUUGCCUUCAGCUCUUUCUGGAAUGGCAACAAUGCAAAUAUUAUUCCUCCUUAGGCGGUUUUCUAGGUCAUCAGACUUGGAUUGUAAUUCAGAGAUUUUAUGGGCAUAGUCCUCCAUAGCAUUGUGAAGAGGCUGUGUAUCUUUUGAGAUUCGCCUCUCAGUUUCUUUAGUACGUUCUCUCAGUUUCUGCAUAUCUUGUUUGAUUAUGUUAAAAUCUGUUUUCAGCUCGUCUAGUUUGUUCAAAACUGAGGCAUGAUUAGUUCCUAUCAAAGUUGCUAUUUCCCCUAGCGUGGGUUCUGCAGGCGGCAGUUCAGGGGAGGAAGGGGAGACAUUUGUUCCCUGUCAGCCUUGGGGUCCAUAGAAGUAUUAGUCGUAGAAUCGGCUGGGACAGUACUGGCAUAUUUGCUUAAAGUUAGUGCAGUGGAAGCGCUCACUUUGGGGCUUCCCGAUUGACGCUGUUCUUCCUCCAUGCCGUCUGUUCUUAAGGGGCACACUGAUCCGCCAUCUUGUGAAGCUGCAUGGUGUUGUUCGGCAGGUUGGAUUUUGGGCGAUGCGCCUUUGGUUCUCCCCAUUGCAGCGGGUUGUUGGUACCGGAGUGAUCCACGGGAGGUACUGUGUAUACAGUAAGGCACACAGGUGGGGUGACAAGUCCUUGGAGGGAUUUAGGACAGACAAGAUACAAGUAACACAGCACAGCGGUACCAGGCCUGGUUCAGAAGAUGGAGCACUGAGGACUUCAACCAAAACGGUGAUGCGUGGGGGAGUGUGGAAAUGACAGACUGCGAAUGGAGAAGACAGAUGAAGUGAGAGGUAGAAAAUUGUUGAGAAAAUGAAUGUUUAGAAAGUGAGGGGCAAACAAGGACUGAAGCUGGUUGAGAUGAACGAGAGGCAGAGAAAUUAGUGUUUCAAACAGCACCUGGGGGUCAGGCAUUAUUUAUCCCUAUCUGACCCGACUCGUAUACAAUUCUUGCUCGUAUUUCCUGGCCCGUGUCACAUGACUGUAUCUAUUUCUUUCUUGUCUAAUAAAACUGCAAUCGUGUCAUGCUUUAUUGCUGGGAGUCCAGAUAACCGUAGUAGUGGUCCCAGAAGGGUCACGGCAAGAUAAUGAUGUCACACAAGCUUUCUAUCUCUGCAGCGUCAAAAGCGGUGACAUUUUCACUACACUGUUGUGGAUUGUUUCCUUUUGGUCCAAUGGGAAUCCAAAGAAAUAUUGUUGCUUAGAAAUGUGGCAGUUUGUUUUAAAGCAACAGUACAGUCGAUAGUAUAAUAGUGUUAUAUUUGUAAAGCCACUGCCUCAGCCUACCUCAAAGAUCUUAAGGCUUAUUUAUAUCUGCAAGGUCACUGGGCAAAGCAGAAUUCCGAGCUCAUUUGCCAUGUUUUUUUUCUCAUGAUGCAGCGUUUUUUUCCCGGAAUUCCAGAAUCAUAGCAGUUGCAAGGGGGGUGAUGCACUACAAGUUUUAAAAAGUCUGGUUUAUGUCAUUUCCAGUGUUCGGUGCAAGAGUGACGCUUGUGCAAGUGUUCUGCGCCCAGUGUCGGACUGGGACACCAGGGGCCCACCCAAAAA